ACCGUCGUAGCUCAAAGGAUAGAGCAGUCCCGUCCUAAGGGAAAGGUUGGAGGUUCGAUUCCUCUCGACGGUA
rnacentral:tRNA from 1 species